CGUACACUCCUACGGGAGGCAGCAGUGGGGAAUAUUGCACAAUGGGCGCAAGCCUGAUGCAGCCAUGCCGCGUGUGUGAAGAAGGCCUUCGGGUUGUAAAGCACUUUCAGCGGGGAGGAAGGCAAUGCGGUUAAUAACCGUGUUGAUUGACGUUACCCGCAGAAGAAGCACCGGCUAACUCCGUGCCAGCAGCCGCGGUAAUACGGAGGGUGCAAGCGUUAAUCGGAAUUACUGGGCGUAAAGCGCACGCAGGCGGUCUGUCAAGUCGGAUGUGAAAUCCCCGGGCUCAACCUGGGAACUGCAUUCGAAACUGGCAGGCUUGAGUCUUGUAGAGGGGGGUAGAAUUCCAGGUGUAGCGGUGAAAUGCGUAGAGAUCUGGAGGAAUACCGGUGGCGAAGGCGGCCCCCUGGACAAAGACUGACGCUCAGGUGCGAAAGCGUGGGGAGCAAACAGGAUUAGAUACCCGUGUAGUCC
rnacentral:rRNA from 1 species